rnacentral:rRNA from 1 species
CCUACGGGAGGCAGCAGUGAGGAAUAUUGGUCAAUGGGCGGAAGCCUGAACCAGCCAAGUCGCGUGAGGGAAUAAGGCCCUACGGGUCGUAAACCUCUUUUGCCGGGGAGCAAGUGCCGGGACGCGUCCCGGCCCGGAGAGUACCCGGAGAAAAAGCAUCGGCUAACUCCGUGCCAGCAGCCGCGGUAAUACGGAGGAUGCGAGCGUUAUCCGGAUUUAUUGGGUUUAAAGGGUGCGUAGGCGGAAUGCGAAGUCAGCGGUAAAAUUGCGGGGCUCAACCUCGCUGCGCCGUUGAAACUGGCGUUCUUGAGUGGGCGAGAAGUAUGCGGAAUGCGUGGUGUAGCGGUGAAAUGCAUAGAUAGCACGCAGAACUCCGAUUGCGAAGGCAGCUUACUAAACUGCCACUGACAUGGAUGCUCGAAAGUGUGGGUAUCAAACAGGAUUAGAUACCCGGGUAGUC